GAUGAACGCUGGCGGCGUGCCUAAUACAUGCAAGUCGAGCGAACGGACGAGAAGCUUGCUUCUCUGAUGUUAGCGGCGGACGGGUGAGUAACACGUGGAUAACCUACCUAUAAGACUGGGAUAACUUCGGGAAACCGGAGCUAAUACCGGAUAAUAUUUUGAACCGCAUGGUUCAAAAGUGAAAGACGGUCUUGCUGUCACUUAUAGAUGGAUCCGCGCUGCAUUAGCUAGUUGGUAAGGUAACGGCUUACCAAGGCAACGAUGCAUAGCCGACCUGAGAGGGUGAUAGGCCACACUGGAACUGAGACACGGUCCAGACUCCUACGGGAGGCAGCAGUAGGGAAUCUUCCGCAAUGGGCGAAAGCCUGACGGAGCAACGCCGCGUGAGUGAUGAAGGUCUUCGGAUCGUAAAACUCUGUUAUUAGGGAAGAACAUAUGUGUAAGUAACUGUGCACAGCUUGACGGUACCUAAUCAGAAAGCCACGGCUAACUACGUG
rnacentral:rRNA from 1 species